rnacentral:lncRNA from 1 species
ACCAACACAACCAAUCCCUACAAAAAUUACUUCUCUACACUAUCUAUGGCUCGAAUCGUAACCCCAAAGAGUGGAAUCCCACAGAAAUUAACUUCAAUUCCACUGCUUCAAUGGUUUCCCGGAAUGGGCAGUGCCCCGAUGGUGAUGCAACCAGUAUCGGAAAAGGAGGAAUCAAAAAGGGCAUUAAAGGAACCAGAUAUGACAACAACAGCGAGGAAGCUCAAUUUCUCAGUUGAAUCGCAGAAGCAAACUUUUACUGAAGUUGUUCAAGGUAAUCGAACCCCAAACAAAGGCAUG